AUGGGCCAACUCAACUCAACU
rnacentral:siRNA from 1 species